UCAGGAAAUUUUAAGGGCGUAUGGUGGAUACCUUGACUCUAAAAGGCGAUGAAGGACGUGGCAUGGCUGCGAUAAGCUUCGGUAAGGUGCCUAGUAACCUGUGACCCGAAGAUUUCCGAAUGGGGAAACCUAAUCUGCUUAAUGCGGAUUGCUGUGUGUAUAUAAAAGACACACGGAGCGUACCCGGGGAAGUGAAACAUCUCAGUACCCGGAGGAAAAGAAAACAAUGUCUAUGAAUUUAGACGAUAUUCUGUGAGUAGCGGCGAGCGAAAGCGGAAGAGCCCAAACCUGAUGUGCUUUUAGUAUAUCAGGGGUUGUAGGAUAAUAACCUCAUUUAGUUGAGGGAAGUCAAAAAAUAUUUUGUUAGUUGAAUUUGCUGGGAAGCAAAACUUCAAAGGGUAAUAGUCCCGUAAACGAAAACAAUUUAUCUUUCUUGUUAUUACUCCUGAGUACCCCAAGACACGAAUAGCUUGGGGGAACCCGCCAGUACUAACUGGUAAGGCUAAAUACUUUUAGAGAUCGAUAGUGAACAAGUACCGUGAGGGAAAGGUGAAAAGAACCCCGGAGAGGGGAGUGAAAUAGAUUUGAAACCAUACGUUUACAAGGAGUAGAAGAGGUUGCUUGCAACCUCGACUGCGUGCCUAUUGAAGAAUGAGCCAACGAGUCUGAAUAUGCAGCUGCCUAAUUGCGAUAGCAAGGAGGCCCAGCGAAAGCGAGUGUUAAUAGCGCGAAAUUAUAGUUGUAUGUUUAGGACCCGAAGCCAAGUGAUCUUACCAUGAGCAGGGUGAACUUCGUCGAAAGACGAAGGGAGGCCCGAACCGGUUGACCGUUCAACAUCAUCGGAUGACUUGUGGUAAGCAGUGAAAAGCUAAUCGAACUUGGUAAUAGCUGGUUCUCUCCGAAAUAGCUUUAGGGUUAGCGUCUAGAUUACCUGCUGGGGGUAGAGCACUGGAAGGAAUGAACAGGGGGAAACUUCGUCAUUCCUAUCAAACUCCGAAUACCAGCAGUCAAGUUCUAGGCAGUUAGACUCCGGGGGCGAAGCUCCGGUGGUCAAAAGGGAAACAGCCCAGACCUACAUCUAAGGUCCCUAAAUUCAUACUAAGUGCACUUAAGGAGGUAAAAUUUCUCAGACAAUGAGGAGGUUGGCUUAGAAGCAGCCAUCCUUUAAAGAUAGCGUAACAGCUCACUCAUCAAGAGAUUUCGCGCCGCAGAUUAUCGGGGCUAAGUAUGAUACCGAAGAUUAGGAUUCGUGAACUUCAUAGAGGAGUUCUUUAUUUAGAAAUAAAAAACAAGGAUUUACAAGUAAUGCAUUAAGUUUUCUAGAAAUUUAAUGCGUGUGGCGAGGGGGUUAAUCAGAGGUCACUAUAAAAAAUAAUCUCCAUUAUUUCUAAUUUUUGUUUGCAAUUUAAAUUUUAUAUGCACCCGGGUAGCUCAGUUGGUAGAGCAAGAGGAUGGCGAAUCCCCUAUGUCGAGGCCCGGGAGCCAAUUAAAAUUUAAAUUGCUUCUUCUAUGAAGUUCACGAGUGGUAGGAGAGCGUUCUGUUCUGCGAUGAAGCCGAAGGCGUAAGCCACGGUGGAGCGUACAGAAGUGAGAAUGUUGGCACAAGUAACCGCAAUGCAGGUGAGAUCCCUGCACGCCGAAAGACUAAGGUUUCCUUCGCAAUGUUUGUCAGCGAAGGGUUAGUCGGGCCUAAGGAGAUGGUGAAAACCGGAUCCGAUGGACAUACGUUUAAUAUUACGUAACUUCUUUAUAUUUCGAUGGAGUGACGGAGGACACAAGUAAGAGCACAUUAUUGGAUUUGUGUUAUUUAUUUCAAGAGACGUUUCUUAGGAAAAUCCGGGAGACAUAAAUUUCGAAAAUAGAUUAAAUUCCUUCCUUCGGGUUGGGAAAUUCUUACGAAGAGCCUUCCAAGAAAAGCUUCUAAGAUUAAAUAUAGAGAACCCGUACCAUAAACCGACACAGGUAGUCAGGUCGAGAAGACCAAGGCGAACGAGUGAUAAUUCCCCAAGGAACUCGGCAAAAAAGCAGCCGUAACUUCGGAAUAAGGCUUGCCCUUCUUUAAUUAGAAGGGCCGCAGCGAAAGUAACCCUGCCAACUGUUUAUCAAAAACACAGCUCCGUGCGAACUCGCAAGAGGAUGUAUACGGGGUGACGCCUGACCAAUGCCAGAAGGUUAAAUAUCGGUGGUACAUUGUCUUCGGAUGAUAUGCUGGCUGAUAUAAGCCCUGGUGAAUGUCGGCCGUAACUAUAACGGUCCUAAGGUAGCGAAAUUCCUUGUCUGGUAAGUUCAGACGUGCACGAAUGGCGUAAUGAGUGGGGUACUGUCUCGGGGAACAGCUCGG
rnacentral:rRNA from 1 species